AACGAACGCUGGCGGCGCGCCUAACACAUGCAAGUCGAGCGAGAACCAGGGCUUCGGCCCUGGGGACAGCGGCGAACGGGUGAGUAACACGUGGAUAACCUGCCCUCGGCACCGGAAUAGCCCGAGGAAACUCGGAUUAAUGCCGGAUAGCCCCACAUCCCUGCGGGGAACGUGGGAAAAGGUAGCUUCGGCCUCUGGCCGAGGAUGGGUCCGCGGUGGAUUAGCUUGUUGGCGGGGUAACGGCCCACCAAGGCGACGAUCCAUAGCUGGUCUGGGAGGAUGAUCAGCCACACUGGGACGGAGACACGGCCCAGACUCCUACGGGAGGCAGCAGUGGGGAAUCUUGCGCAAUGGGCGAAAGCCUGACGCAGCGACGCCGCGUGCGGGAAGAAGGCCUUCGGGUUGUAAACCGCUUUCAGGAGGGACGAAGCCACUCGGGUGAAUAGCCCAGAGGGUGACGGUACCUCCAGAAGAAGCCCCGGCUAACUACGUGCCAGCCGCCGCGGUAAUAC
rnacentral:rRNA from 1 species